rnacentral:rRNA from 1 species
UACAGAGGUCCCAAGCGUUGUUCGGAUUCACUGGGCGUAAAGGGUGCGUAGGCGGUCGGAUAAGUCUGACGUGAAAUCUCCGGGCCUAACCCGGAAACUGCGUUGGAAACUAUCUGGCUAGAGGAAUGGAGGGGAGACUGGAAUACUUGGUGUAGCAGUGAAAUGCGUAGAUAUCAAGUGGAACGCCAGUGGCGAAGGCGAGUCUCUGGACAUUUCCUGACGCUGAGGCACGAAAGCCAGGGGAGCAAACGGG